rnacentral:lncRNA from 1 species
CAGGAAAUGGCGGCGACGCUGCUGCAGCAGCUGCCGGGCCCCCGAGCUCCACUGUGCCGGGCCCAGGCCGCCUAGAGAGCCGCCGAGCCAGCGCCGGGCCCGAGCCCCAGCCGCAGCCAUCCCGGGCCGGACUCCGAGCACUUUACAUACAUGAGAGAAUUGGAAGCUAAAGCUACCAAAGAACUUGAAAGAAAACUAAGCAGGGAUUUAGUGCAAGAAGAGGAACAGUUGAUGGAAGAAAGGAAAAAGAGAAAAGAAGACAAGAAAAAGAAGGAAGCUGCUCAAAAAAAGGUAUGUGAAUCAUUUUAAGUGUUUUUAUUUUAAAAUAGGAUUUGGCUUUGUGUUUUUCCUCAGACUAAUUUUGCUUAUUGUAAUAUAGCUGUUAAAGAUAAGCCUUUUUUUUUUUUUUUUUAAA